UUAGAUAGUUGGCUAAUCGCUAGUACAUUAACUGGAGGAAAGUCCGGGCAGCACAGGAAGAGACAGCCGCUAACGGCGGCCGAGGGCGACCUUAGGGAAAGUGCCACAGAGACAAAACGUCCAUCAUUUAUGGUGGUCAUGGUGAAAAGAGUGCGGUAAGAGCGCACAGUCGCUUACGGUGACGUAGGCGAGCGGUAAACCCUGUCUGCUGCAAGGAAUGGGCCUUGUUUUGAUCUUUGAUCGAAUCGGUUUUCCGCCGGCCCGAAUAUAACCCGCUUGAACCUGUUGGUAACAGCAGGCCUAGAUAGAUGAUUAGCUCCGUAUUUUACGGAACAAAACCCGGCUUAUAGACUAUCUGACGUA
rnacentral:RNase_P_RNA from 1 species